UGAGAAACGGCUACUACAUCUAAGGAAGGCAGCAGGCGCGUAAAUUACCCAAUCCUAAAUCAGGGAGGUAGUGACAAGAUAUAACAACGCGAUUAAAUGUCGCGAUUGUAGUGAGGGUAUUCUAAAAUAGCUUCGAGUACGAUUGGAGGGCAAGUCUGGUGCCAGCAGCCGCGGUAAUUCCAGCUCCAAUAGCGUAUAUUAAAGUUGCUGCAGUUAAAAAGCUCGUAGUUGAACUUCAUGAGCAGUAGGUAGCUUACUACCUGCUCUCUACCAGUCUUUCGACUGUUACUGUGAGAAAAUUAGAGUGUUUCAAGCAGGCUAUUGCAGGAAUACAUUAGCAUGGAAUAACGAAUGUACCUACAAUUUGGUUAAUUGUAGAUUACUAUUAAUAGGGACAGUUGGGGG
rnacentral:rRNA from 1 species